GGCACCAGGAGAAGACGCCCCUUCCCAACUCCGUCGCUUGCUUACCUGCCCUCGAGUCAUCGCUACCGUACAGUUGACGGGGGUCCGGAGGGCCCCUGAGAUGACUGGACAAGGACGGAGGGACGACAGCCGUGGUGGUCUCGGGAGGGACGAGCUUGAGCCCGAGCGCCGCGUCCAGCCGCCCUUGGGCGCUUCACACAAUCUGUGCCCAUUCCCACAGACCUUCCAGAGACAGGUUUCCAGUACCCGGGUGUGAAGAGGUUCCCAAACAUCAGGAGUUUCAUAGCUGCGAUGUUUCCUCCUUGUCUCCUUGUUUUUGUCUCAUUUCCAGGACAUUUGUCUGAUGAUAUGGCCACCUGAUUCCACAGUAUGCAGGAUGGACUGGACAGGAGUAGCCCCAGAAGGACCAGGUCCCUCUUCAGUCACCUGCCAGCUUUGCACCUUGGGCAAGUUCCCU